AGGCGUCGACGGGUAGCCGGCCUGAGAGGGUGACCGGCCACACUGGGACUGAGACACGGCCCAGACUCCUACGGGAGGCAGCAGUGGGGAAUAUUGCACAAUGGGCGGAAGCCUGAUGCAGCAACGCCGCGUGAGGGAUGACGGCCUUCGGGUUGUAAACCUCUUUUAGCAGGGAAGAAGCGAGAGUGACGGUACCUGCAGAAAAAGCGCCGGCUAACUACGUGCCAGCAGCCGCGGUAAUACGUAGGGCGCAAGCGUUAUCCGGAAUUAUUGGGCGUAAAGAGCUCGUAGGCGGUUUGUCGCGUCUGCUGUGAAAUCCCGAGGCUCAACCUCGGGCCUGCAGUGGGUACGGGCAGACUAGAGUGCGGUAGGGGAGAUUGGAAUUCCUGGUGUAGCGGUGGAAUGCGCAGAUAUCAGGAGGAACACCGAUGGCGAAGGCAGAUCUCUGGGCCGUAACUGACGCUGAGGAGCGAAAGGGUGGGGAGCAAACAGGCUUARAUACCCUGGUAGUCCACCCCGUAAACGKUGGGAACUAGUUGUGGGGACCAUUCCACGGUUUCCGUGACGCAGCUAACGCAUUAAGUUCCCCGCCUGGGGAGUACGG
rnacentral:rRNA from 1 species